CCUUAUUUAUUUAUUUUUAAAUAAUGGCCUAGAUAAAAAGAAGCUUGUUCGCGUCUUAUACUAGAGAUGUUAAAACAGCUGGGUAAGAGGCGACUUCAGGGACGACGUGGAAGGGAAUUGUUCUAGGCAGGGAGAUCACGUGCCCUAGCUUCAACAUUGUCGUCUGGAGGUAGUGUCAUUGAGAAGCCCGGAUGUAACGGGUCUUCCCGCGCUGGAGAGCGGCGCGCGCUUUGUGCUUGUGGGAGAGAGAGCGCGCGCCUUACCCACACCCCUAUAGAUUCUCUGAGGGAUAGGCUCUCCCUAGUUGCACUUUGUCGUGAUUGUUCUCCAUAACAAUGUCUGCAUUCAGUCAAACUGCCGCAUUCUCCUAUAGAAGGUUUUGAGGUAGAUUUAAUGGCCAUUCCCGAGUCUGAAAUUAAGGCCACUGGGAGCAGCUACAAAGGAGGAACAUAUUGCUGGAGAGAUAAUGGCAGACUUUGAUUUAAUUUAGCUUGCCAUAGACACACGGGAGAUAGUCGCCCGACGACAAAGCACCUCUUCUUGUGACUAAUCUUAAUUCUAAAUCGCCAGCGGGACGGCACUCGAACAAUUCGUUUUUCCGAAUUGCCUCACGAGGGAACUUCGGGCGACUUCAGAAAACGUAGGGAUCAGCGUGCCGUCCCGCCAGCGUUGCAUAUUCUAGCCGACGGGAAGCUAGUUCGGGGAGAUUAGUCGCCCGAAAAAAAGGCGAUUUGUGGCACUGUCUCUGCCGUUACUGAUUUGACUUUGAUGAAGAAGAGCGAGGGCUAUGACUACUGUAAAAAAAAAAAAAAAUGAAGGUCAUCUGACCUAAAUAGGAUCUGUGCAAUUAACUUUAGGCCCAUAAUAUGUUUAAUUCGUAUCCUUACCUCAGGUUUGGUAACCGUAGCAAACCCAACAGCUCGGGCACAAAGAUGACUCCUAUGUCAUUGCGUAUUUAUAGUAAACUUAAAAUGAGCAGUGGAGAAUGGGGUAGAUAGAUGUGCCCAGUAGAAAUAAUAAAUGGUUAAUUCACGAAAGACAGGUGGCUUCUGUAUCCUAGUAUAUGAGCAUCUCCUCUUUAGGGCUUGACAGCUGUUAUAACAAAUGUUUCAUAUAUUCUCAUGCCACAAAGGAAUUUCCAUACUACUUUGAGACCCUAGCAGCUAACUGAUUUUUUUCAUAUGUAUAUAUUUUUUUUUCAUGUAUGGACUGCCUGAAGGCAUGUGCAGUUCAUAAUGCGAGAGGCUAGACGGCAGCUGCUGGGUGUGGAAAUCGAUUGCUGGGGUGGGGGAGGAUUUUGCAACAUAAUCAGGAUUUAGCUGAAAGCCUUGUGCAGAUGUUUCUCUUUCAUGGUGUACGGCCGACAGCGCAAGGAUCGUGUGGGUGUGGAAACGGCUUGUAGGCUUUUGCCUGCUAACGUGGAAGUAGUGUCAGCUGAUGGAUAAUGGGUGUGUAAGCUGCCAUUGUUGUCUUGUGUUAUGUGAAAUCUGGCA